UGGCCUCGAACUCAGAGAUCCGCCUGCCU
rnacentral:piRNA from 1 species